ensembl:lncRNA
UGAGAUUUUAGAAGAGCCGGGUGCAUCCUGACAGAAAGACACAAGCUGAGCUAAUAAGAACUGCAGCAGAUUUUGCAUGCACGUUGCAAACUGUGUCCCGAAAGGAGCAGGAUGGGGUGGAAGAGGCAGUGGCCACUGGCAGAGGAACGCAGGGCUGAGUCAUGGCCGCAUCGUGCCAGCACUGCCUGCCCGCUGCCUGCAGUGCCUGGGAGAGUUCUCCGUGUUUCUCUCUCUUCCCUUUCUGCACAGGAAUCGUUACUCACUCUGCACACAAUGCCAGUUAAAGUUGCCCUGGAUAUUAUCUCUGCUGUGAUUCACUCCUUUGCACCAACUUAAUUCUCCUGAAAGACUGUUUCACUUUUUGUGACUAAUUGGAGGCUCUGUGCUUAACUGUGACUCUGAGCCUCGACAGCAGCUGAGCGACAAGGGCAUGGGAGCCACUGCUCUCAGCUGCCUGUGAUGCCAACAGGAGCAGUGAGUAAUGCUGCUGGGACACUGAGAUGUGCAGAAAAUAUGUGCCUGGAUCCUCAUGGAAGGGAAAUCAGAUAUAGAGCCUCUGGGUUGUUUUCCUCCUGCUAUUCAGAAAGGGCUGGCACUGCUAUAAUGCCCUCACAUUUCAGUUUUUGCCCUGCAUUGUACAGGACAGCCCCAUUGUGGGAUCACGGAAGCUGAUUAUUUUAUAUUGGAACUAAUGGUUGUAAAUGUCUACAGGAAUCAGAAGUGAUGUGUAAAUGGUUCAUGAACAAAGAGGAGCUGUAACAGCGUGGAGGGACUGCAGAUGCUCUGUGAGCCAUUCAAUAAUGCUCCAGUUUCAAACACACAGAGCAAGCAGCUCUGCCUUCUUUCUCCAUAAAGGCAGGAGUUUAGGCUGUGCUUUUCAAAAUGUGGGGCAGCACUGAUCUCUGCUCUCUGGUGGCAAUGAUGGGACCUGAGGGAAUGGUGUGGAGCUGCAUAGGGAGGUCUCAGGUUGGCUACUGGGAAAGGGCUCUUCAGAGGGAGGGCGGUAGGUGUGGAACAGGUCAGUGGUCAUGGCACUGAGCUGGAGCUCAGGAAGCUUUUGGACACUGCUCUCAGGUAGGGUCUGAGCUUUGGCUGGUUCUGUAUGGAGCCAGGGGUUGGACUUUGUGAUCCUUAUGGCUCCCUUUCCACUCAG